rnacentral:misc_RNA from 1 species
AAAUGCGAUAAGUAAUGUGAAUUGCAGAAUUCAGUGAAUCAUCGAAUCUUUGAACGCACCUUGCGCUCCUUGGUAUUCCUUGGAGCAUGCCUGUUUGAGUAUCAUGAAAUCUUCAAAGUAAAUCUUUUGUUAACUCAAUUGGUUUCUACUUUGGUAUUGGAGGUCUUUGCAGCUUCACACCUGCUCCUCUUUGUUCAUUAGCUGGAUCUCAGUGUUAUGCUUGGUUCCACUCGGCGUGAUAAGUUAUCUAUCGCUGAGGACACUGUGAAAGGUGGCCAAGGUAAAUGCAGAUGAACCGCUUCUAAUAGUCCAUUGACUUGGACAAUACUUUUAUGAUCUGAUCUCAAAUCAGGUAGGACUACCCGCUGAACUUAAGC